GCAGAUCUCAGGACAGUCAACAUGGAUGGCAGUAAAAGUUUCCUUUGUUUGAUUAUCUCUGCUGUGCUAUGACUUGGUCUACAAACUUUGUGGAACUUACCCCAUUGGAUCUUCAUAACAACUCUUCUAGGUCAGUAUUAAUCAGUCCUAUGUUACAGAUACAAGUUGAGCUAAAAGAAAUAGAAAAUGUCCAAGACCACACCAUUGCUCCGAGGUAGAAUCAGUGUUUACACUCAUGUCUGUCUUACUCUGAAGCUCUUGUUCCCUCUUCUGUGCCAUGCUGUCUCUGCCUUUACAUUUCCACAGCUUGUAUCUAUGUUAUUUAUGAGUUCAUGGUUUCAGCUUAGGUGGAGGGAGGAGUGAGCUAGACACACAAAAAAUAAUUACCUGGGCAGAACGCAUAUGCAUAUGCUAUUCUGCAUGGUAAAAAAAAACAUCAGAUGAGUCGUACUUAGAGAAACAAGAGCUUUGAGAACUGGAGUGGUCAGGAGUGAAGGUUGAGCAGAACCUGUUGAACACUGAUACCACCCUUGUGACCAGAAUAUGAUUAUUAAAUAAAUGAAUUAAAGAAUGAAGGAUACUGCUUAUGAUCAUGGAGUGUUUAUCAUACCCUGAGCUUUGUAAGAAAGAUUGCAGGUUAACUCUCAAAUCUGAAUGAAAAAUAUGUCAACAGUGUGAGAAAUGAUAACCCUGGGAUUAUUUAGUUCUUAAACUUGGCUGCAUUUUGGAAUUACCUAGGGUGUUCCAAACAACGUGCUUAGGCUACAACCUGUACCAAUUAUUUGAGAAUCUCUAGGAAUGGGAUCCAAGCAUCAGUAAUUUCUUAAACACUCCAGCUGACUGCAGUGUGAAGUCAGAUUCCAGUGCAACAUGAUAAGAAAUGUCCUAUGAUAAGGGCCAUAACCUGACAUAGGGUAGAGAUUUACUCUGAGGCAGUAGAGACCUGGAAACUGAACAAUUUGGACAAAGUUGAUUCUUCCCAAAAUAUAAUCUGUAAUGUAUGUCACAAUUAGUGACUUAGACAUACUAGUAAAACUUGAAUAUCAGAAACACAGGGCCCAUUGUCAAAUACAUUUAUAAAAUGCUGACUAACCACACAGGUGUUUGUUGUUGUUAUUGUUUUAACUUCAGGCCUUCUAAGAGCCUUGACGGUUCUAGCGUGUGUUAUAUCUAUCAAGUAUGUAGCACUUUCUAACUUUAUGUCCCUGUUUGCUUUGUUUUACCUUUGGUGGAACUAGUGUUUCAUGGAGCCCCAUUCUGGGAACAACAACUACAAAGUGUCGACAAAACUAAAAACAGCUUAUUUUGAAGUCUAGGCAGCCUAUGUGUUUCUUUAAAUACAUUUGAUCCACACAACAAUAUUAUGAUUAGGAAUUAGCAUAUGCUUUUGUUGGAUGAGGAAAUGGAUGCUCUAAUACUUACCUUGGUUAAGUUCACACAAUAAAUAACAGAACAGGAAUUCAAAUCAGGUCUAUGAUUGUUAAUUCAACAAUGUAUCUUUGUAUUCACAGCCUCUCAGAGUUUCUCAGUAAAGUCCCUUCCCCUCCAGGUUGAGCCUAAAUAGCAGUUACCAUACUGCGGCAAUACUGACCACUGCUAAGUACUUCGCGCUCUUAAACAGUUCAAGGUUGAGGUUAAAUUGUCCUAUUAAAAUCUCUCUGACUUCUGUUUAUCUGACUAAAUACACUUUGUCUGCACUGCAGACUUUGUGUGCAUUGCAGAAUCAUUGCUCACGAUCGCCUUUCUGCCCCUCCAUGACUUCCUUAAGAAACGCCCUAUCUAACCAAUGCCUCACGUUGCUUACAGCCCUUUGCCUGCUUCCCAGAGUUCUUAAAUUCUUAGGUAGUGUCCUCAAACAAACAAGCAGUGGUGACACCAGCUCAUUUUCCUCUUUUAAUAAUUGGAUGACUGUGCAGGGUGCUACAGGAAUAUGCAUGAGAGCUUAAUUAUAUUCUCUGCCUCGCUGAGUGAAUGUUGGCUAGCAAGAAGCCUCUGCCUAUGGUGUAAAACAUCACAGAGAUCAGAUUGGUUCCCCUUGCACUUGCACGUGGCUGAUAAUCAGCUCUCUCCAUACACAGGCAGACAGAUGAAGCCAGUUUUAUCUGAAAAGGUGUCAGUGUCCUGUUAGCAGCUGCAUGUCUUGACUUUACACUCAUAGCAAACUCAGUAGCAGGCUGAGCAACCCAGAUCUUCUCUUGAUCUGGACGAGUCAGUGAUGCAGCCUCGAAAAUACAAAACCACUUCAUUUUUCUGGAAUCACCAGAAAAUCAUCUAGUACUAUGAGCAGCACCCUCAGGUUAUCAGAACACGCUUUUCAGUGCCCAAAAGUUAAGCACAUUCAACGUUUUCAGAUAUGAAAAAUCUCUCAACAUGAACAAAAUGCUUUCUUAAUACAACAUUCAUAUAUUGGGCACCAACUAUGUCCCAAGCACUACGACAAUUAUUAGGGACAAAAAUAAGGAUAGAAAGUUACAUGUUAUGUGAAGGCUCAAGAGCAUUUCCUUUAGGUAAAGCACAGAUUUUAAUUUGGGGGCUCAUUGCUACCUCCACUCUGACUAUUCAGAAGAACUUUUUCUUCUCUCUCAGCUGUGGUCUGUAUAGAUGAGGCUGUUGGUUAAGUGACCUUGAGAAAAGAGGGUGUUUUUGUAGAUACACUGCCAUUCAUUCCAUAAACAUUCCCCACAUAUCCCCAUAUCCGGCCAUCUGCAUACAGCACACUUCAGUCACUCUCUGUACUAUGUUAAAUCAAAGUGCUUUCCCUUUUCGCAGGAGAGACGCAAGCUAAUCAAAUCAUGGAUAGAGGCACAUACAAAGGACAGUGGGAUCAUCAGGACUAUAUAUCUACAUUCAAAUCGUCAUAUGUUUUUGAAAUUUCCAGGUAUUCAGCAGCGGCAGAACUGUACGUGGCAACCAGAAUCAAAUUAGCAGAGGUCCACAGAAGCCCUGAUCUGCUCCUACUUAAAUGAGUGCGGCUGCUUCUAUCACAGAAGGAACUGACAUCAUUUCUAUUCACUUGUACGCUCACCAGCCUCCUUAAUACAGCUUCAGGAACUAAAUGUUUCCCAGUAGACAAUGCAGGUGUCACUUCUGAGAAAUGCACACACUCUGUUAACAGUAAAGGUGGCAGCCGAUUCUGGGACUAUAAUUGGAGCUUUUCUUCUCCAUUCCAGUUGCAUGAUUUCUCUUUCUCUUCAGUGACUUCCUUAACUUUAUAAAUGAAUACAAAGGCUCAACCACAUGCUACAGCAAAGAUAUUUGCUUAAUCCCUUUAGCCAUCUGUAAAGCAAGAGUAAUACACUCUAGCAACGCAUCAGUAGUGAGUGUGCGUGCAUGUGUGUGCACGUCUGCAUGCAUGUCUGUGUGCAUUAGGGCAUAAUGCAGAUAAUAUACCCAAUGAAGCCCACCGGAAAGCACAUUGUGUUUUUUUAAAGAUUUAAAUAAUACAGGGCAAAGCCAUGGCUUGUGAGUCUAAAACAACCCUCUAAAUUGGUUAUUUUCAUUGCUCACUUGCACAUGAAUGUGAUCAUUGAUCAUUAAUUUUGACUGUAGAUGAACAAUACUUAAGAAAGUCUACUGUAUGCAAUUCUAGAAUUUGCUUUAGCCAAGUUCAAAUUCUAUGUGGUGUUAACUCAUUUGUUUUUCAUUAAGUUCUUUAUUAACAGCCAAAUCCCUUGAUUAUUACACUUCUCUGAACUUUCUUGUUAAUCUUACUUACGAGUCACAUAAUGCCUGAAUACAUUUCUCUGAAAUGUUGCUGAGAUAAAAGAGCUGACACUGACAGUAAUUAACUUCUAAAUAAAUAUUAAAAUGAGAGGGCAUCGUAAAUACCCCCAGUGCAACGGAUCCAUGCCUAAGUCCCUAGGACGUUAGGCAGCUGGUCUGUCACCAUUUGAGCUGAGGGCAGCUGUCACUGAUUUUGGAAGAUAUUCCUCUAUACUAUUUAGCCUAAUUAGCCUCUUUUAAUUCUCAGUUUUAGCUAAAAUACAUAUUUUAUACUUUGCUUUUCACAGAUUUGACCUCUUAGCCGUAUGUUCUCCUGACCAAUUCUCCACAGCUUACUUGCAUAUAAAAGUUGUCCCUAGGUAGGGACCAAGUUCAAUGGUUUCCCCUACCCACCCACCGCCUACCCAAUUGUGAUGGAUCCUUGCACACAGCUGGCUGGAAGCCCAAAUGGUGUGUCCCAUGUCUGUUGAAUUGAGGUACAUUUGCUCAUAAGAUAUUCAUCUCAAAUCUGUCAAACAAAAACUGUGAAAGUGUUGUGUGAUUGGCUGAGGCUGUCUGUUCCAUAAAAAAGCAGAAAUCACGCCAGCACAAGUGUGAUGUCUGGCAUCCAACCGACAGGGUUGAAAUACUAGUUGUGACCCAGAUUAGAAGUGUAACUUUGGGCAGGUUACUUAUGUUCUCUAAAUCUUAAUUUCCUCACGUGUGAAAUGUAGAAAACCAGUAUCCUCUGUUAAAGGUGUUGUAACUAACAUCUUUGUAUUAAAUGUACAUCUAUGUAUUAAAGAGCAUACUACAAGUAAAGUGCUUCCCCAAGGGCUUGGCAAGGACUCAACCAUCGACAGCUAUUGCCGACCUUUAUUAGGAGUUCAGAUGAGAGCGUUCUGGGCUGCGGCACCUUAGAGCUUCCCGUAAAAGGUAGAUACAGAGCAGUAUGGUAACAGCGGUAAAUGUGAUGAGGCUUAAGCUGUAUUCUCAAGGGAGUCUUGUCUUUUAGUUUCAAUGUCUUGUCUUUUAGGCACAACGUGUUUCUCUCUGAUCCUCCUCUCUAACCUGCACCCAUCUUCAGGAAUACAGGUGUGACAGGGUAGUCCUGGACCAGAAGCAUCAGCAGCUAACAAGCUGGAAUUCGUUGGAAAUACACAUUUCCGGGGCUCCCCCUAGACCUACUGAUGAAGGUGCUUUGGAGCAGGGAUCCAACAGACUGAACAGACCUUGCAGACGAUUCUGAUGCACGGUGAAGGCUGAAAACCACACUAAGGUGAUGAGCGCCGGCACCUCUGUCGCUGCUAUGAUGUUGAAGGAACAAAUCAAGGACAUAAGGCUGAGAGAUACAAUGUGGCCGAUUUCAAGCAGAAAUGCUGCUGAGUACUUCAUCACCUGUUUUGUUGUGGUUCAAGUAAGGGCUGAAAUAAUAGUAGAAAAACGCGUAAACGAGUAAAUACAACUGAGAAAAGAAAGGUGGCGAUGUAAAGCAGUAUAUUUACAUAUGAAGAUUGGUCAGGGAUGCACUCAUCUAUUCAUCCAGCCAUUCACCUACUCGCCCUUCCAUCCGUUAAUUCUUUAUUUUUUUUCAAAAAUGUUUUCUUGGGACUUCCCUGUUGGCGCAGUGGUUAGGAGUCCGCCUGCCGAUGCAGGGGU